GGGCUCACACAAGCGGUGGAGCAUGUGGUUCAAUUCGAAGCAACGCGAAGAACCUUACCCGGGUUUGAAAUCCACGGAUGGGUCCGAUGAAAGUUGGAUACCCUGCCCGCAAGGGUGAAACGUGGACAGGUGUUGCAUGGCUGUCGUCAGCUCGUGUCGUGAGAUGUCGGGUUAAGUCCCUCAACGAGCGAAACCCUUGUCUCUAGUUGCCAACGGUUCGGCCGGGGACUCUAGAGAGACUGCCGUUGUGAAAACGGAGGAAGGUGGGGAUGACGUCAAGUCAUCAUGGCCUUUAUGUCCGGGGCUACACACGUGCUACAAUGGGCGGCACAAAGGGAUGCAAAGUCGCGAGACCAAGCAAAACUCAGAAAACCGUCCCCAGUUCAGAUUGGAGGCUGCAACCCGCCUCCAUGAAGAUGGAAUCGCUAGUAAUCGCGGAUCAGCUACGCCGCGGUGAAUAUGUUCCUGGGCCUU
rnacentral:rRNA from 1 species